AGAGUUUGAUCCUGGCUCAGAUUGAACGCUGGCGGCAGGCCUAACACAUGCAAGUCGAGCGGUAGCACAGAGAGCUUGCUCUCGGGUGACGAGCGGCGGACGGGUGAGUAAUGUCUGGGAAACUGCCUGAUGGAGGGGGAUAACUACUGGAAACGGUAGCUAAUACCGCAUAACGUCGCAAGACCAAAGUGGGGGACCUUCGGGCCUCAUGCCAUCAGAUGUGCCCAGAUGGGAUUAGCUAGUAGGUGGGGUAAUGGCUCACCUAGGCGACGAUCCCUAGCUGGUCUGAGAGGAUGACCAGCCACACUGGAACUGAGACACGGUCCAGACUCCUACGGGAGGCAGCAGUGGGGAAUAUUGCACAAUGGGCGCAAGCCUGAUGCAGCCAUGCCGCGUGUGUGAAGAAGGCCUUCGGCUUUUAAAGCACUUUCAGCGGGGAGGAAGG
rnacentral:rRNA from 1 species